UGCAUCGGCCGGGAAUCGAACCCGGGCUGCCCGCGUGGCAGCUGUGCAUUCGACCACUAAACCACCGUCGA